AUGGGAGCAGAUGGCGAGAUCCACAGCCAAACAAAAGGCAGAGCCUGGGGAACUGCUGAGGAAGAAAGAAAGGAGGAUUGCAGGAGCCAGAGGAGUUGAGGACACCAUGAGAACACAGAGACCUAACCAACCAUCAUGGACCCUGUGCUAAUGACAGAAGAACAGAAGAGUAUUGCUCACCAACUCCUAUAUUGAAGGAUCUGCAUGAUUAUUGGAACCAGAAGAAUUGAGAGUGGAAUGCCAAACAAACCAAAAUAACUAAUAUAAAGAAUGGCUAGCGGAAAGGACAAAGCAAAGAACUUAAAGCACAAUUAAAAGAGGAAAGAAGAAUGUCUGUCACUACUGCUUGCAGGAAAAAGGAGUCACCCACUACAAAAUGAAAUGUUUUUACCUACUUAAUGGAUUUAAUCAGAAUCUCAACAAGAUUUGGAGUAAAAAGGCAAAAGAAACUUUUACAUGGUCUUCCACCUCUCUGAGCACUUCUUGGAGAACCCUGAGAAGUUGACAGAAGCAUCCGGGUGCUACUUCUUGUAUUCCUCCCGGCAGGUUUGCACAAAGAAUGCAUAUGAGGACAUUUUGCCUCUCGGCUUCUUAGGAUCUCCUUUGCCCGUAUAUAGUUGAUUUUCCUCCGCGAGGCAGAGUUGCCCAGUGCCGGUCCAGCUCUGGCUUGCCCCAGCGCUGUAUCUAUGGAGCUCAAUGUACUGCAAUGGCUGAGAGCGGGAGCCAGACGCAGCCUCCUCACUCUCUCCACUCUGUAACCUCCAUCUGUAUUUUUAGAGUAAAUAAAACGUUGACUCAAAA
rnacentral:lncRNA from 1 species